UUGUGGUUGAUCAGUUCAGUCAGCGUUUGUUCUGGGCUGAUUUUGAAUUAUCUGUUAUUGGCAGUGUUCUUUUUGAUGGCUCUGGUUCAGUAGUAUCUGUGAGCAGUAAACAAGGGUUGCUGCAUCCACACAGAAUUGACAUUUUUGAAGAUUACAUCUAUGGAGCAGGUCCUAAAACUGGUGCAUUUAGAGUACAAAAAUUUGGCUCAGGUUCUGUAGAAUAUCUGAAUUUGGAUGUUGAUAAAACAAAAAGUGCCUUGAUUUUCCAUCGCUACAAGCAAAUAGAUUCACCUAAUCCUUGCUUGGACUUGACGUGCGAGUUUCUCUGUUUACUCAACCCUUCUGGUGCAGCUUGUGCAUGUCCAGAAGGGAAAUCUCUGAUCAAUGGAACAUGCAGUGAUCUGAGUCUUUCAGCUUUUCAUGUAGCAAACAGCACAGUGAGCAUACUUAUAAAGCUACUUCUGUUGUGAAAGAUUCUACUGGUUUGAGGCAUAUGAGCUGUAUUUUAAAAAGAGAAUAUACCACUGGAACUGGUAAUAUAAGUUCAAGUACUGUCAAAAGUUUUUUGUUUGUUUUUUUUUCCCUCAGUUUGCCACCUUUCCUGGCCUUCUCUUUCACUUUGGCUUGUAAAAUACAAUUCUGUUUUUCUCUGAGAUCACACAGAAAAUGCUUGCUCUUAACUCCCCCUUCUCUCUUUAAGAUGGCAGAGCAGGCUAACAGGAACUUUUUUAAACCAAAAAGGUUCAAUUUGUGAAGUGGAUUCAACAGUCUUCAAAGGAAAAGUUGU